rnacentral:rRNA from 1 species
GCCUAUGGCCAUACCACCUGGAAUGCACCCGAUCUUGUCAGCUACUCAGGGUCUGGCCUGGUUAGUACUUGGAUGGGAGACCACAUGGGAAUACUGGAUGCUGUAGGCU